rnacentral:rRNA from 1 species
GUACACUCCUGCGGGAGGCAGCAGUGGGGAAUAUUGCACAAUGGGCGCAAGCCUGAUGCAGCCAUGCCGCGUGUAUGAAGAAGGCCUUCGGGUUGUAAAGUACUUUCAGCGGGGAGGAAGGCGAUAAGGUUAAUAACCUUGUUGAUUGACGUUACCCGCAGAAGAAGCACCGGCUAACUCCGUGCCAGCAGCCGCGGUAAUACGGAGGGUGCAAGCGUUAAUCGGAAUUACUGGGCGUAAAGCGCACGCAGGCGGUCUGUCAAGUCGGAUGUGAAAUCCCCGGGCUCAACCUGGGAACUGCAUUCGAAACUGGCAGGCUAGAGUCUUGUAGAGGGGGGUAGAAUUCCAGGUGUAGCGGUGAAAUGCGUAGAGAUCUGGAGGAAUACCGGUGGCGAAGGCGGCCCCCUGGACAAAGACUGACGCUCAGGUGCGAAAGCGUGGGGAGCAAACAGGAUUAGAAACCCGGGUAGUCCCAU